GAUGAACGCUGGCGGCGUGCCUAAUACAUGCAAGUCGAGCGAAUGGAUUAAGAGCUUGCUCUUAUGAAGUUAGCGGCGGACGGGUGAGUAACACGUGGGUAACCCGCCCAUAAGACUGGGAUAACUCCGGGAAACCGGGGCUAAUACCGGAUAACAUUUUGAACCGCAUGGUUCGAAAUUGAAAGGCGGCUUCGGCUGUCACUUAUGGAUGGACCCGCGUCGCAUUAGCUAGUUGGUGAGGUAACGGCUCACCAAGGCAACGAUGCGUAGCCGACCUGAGACGGUGAUCGGACACACUGGGACUGAGACACGGCCCAGACUCCUACGGGAGGCAGCAGUAGGGAAUCUUCCGCAAUGGACGAAAGUCUGACGGAGCAACGCCGCGUGAGUGAUGAAGGCUUUCGGGUCGUAAAACUCUGUUGUUAGGGAAGAACAAGUGCUAGUUGAAUAAGCUGGCACCUUGACGGUACCUAACCAGAAAGCCACGGCUAACUACGUGCCAGCAGCCGCAGUAA
rnacentral:rRNA from 1 species